rnacentral:rRNA from 2 species
UACAUGCAGUCGAGCGAACUGAUUAGAAGCUUGCUUCUAUGACGUUAGCGGCGGACGGGUGAGUAACACGUGGGCAACCUGCCUGUAAGACUGGGAUAACUUCGGGAAACCGAAGCUAAUACCGGAUAGGAUCUUCUCCUUCAUGGGAGAUGAUUGAAAGAUGGUUUCGGCUAUCACUUACAGAUGGGCCCGCGGUGCAUUAGCUAGUUGGUGAGGUAACGGCUCACCAAGGCAACGAUGCAUAGCCGACCUGAGAGGGUGAUCGGCCACACUGGGACUGAGACACGGCCCAGACUCCUACGGGAGGCAGCAGUAGGGAAUCUUCCGCAAUGGACGAAAGUCUGACGGAGCAACGCCGCGUGAGUGAUGAAGGCUUUCGGGUCGUAAAACUCUGUUGUUAGGGAAGAACAAGUACGAGAGUAACUGCUCGUACCUUGACGGUACCUAACCAGAAAGCCACGGCUAACUACGUGCCAGCAGCCGCGGUAAUACGUAGGUGGCAAGCGUUAUCCGGAAUUAUUGGGCGUAAAGCGCGCGCAGGCGGUUUCUUAAGUCUGAUGUGAAAGCCCACGGCUCAACCGUGGAGGGUCAUUGGAAACUGGGGAACUUGAGUGCAGAAGAGAAAAGCGGAAUUCCACGUGUAGCGGUGAAAUGCGUAGAGAUGUGGAGGAACACCAGUGGCGAA